rnacentral:rRNA from 1 species
UCAGGCCUAACACAUGCAAGUCGAGCGGUUGAGGUAGCUUGCUACCGAUGCAGCGGCGGACGGGUGAGUAAUACAUGGGAAUCUGCCUGGUAGUGGGGGACAACGUUUCGAAAGGAACGCUAAUACCGCAUACGCCCUACGGGGGAAAGGGGGGGAUCUUCGGACCUCUCGCUAUCAGAUGAGCCCAUGUCGGAUUAGCUUGUUGGUGAGGUAAGGCUCACCAAGGCGACGAUCCGUAACUGGUCUGAGAGGAUGAUCAGUCACACUGGAACUGAGACACGGUCCAGACUCCUACGGGAGGCAGCAGUGGGGAAUAUUGGACAAUGGGCGCAAGCCUGAUCCAAAAAGGCCGCGUGUGUGAAGAAGGCCUUAGGG